GACGAACGCUGGCGGCGUGCCUAAUACAUGCAAGUUGAGCGCUGAAGGUUGGUACUUGUACCAACUGGAUGAGCAGCGAACGGGUGAGUAACGCGUGGGGAAUCUGCCUUUGAGCGGGGGACAACAUUUGGAAACGAAUGCUAAUACCGCAUAAAAACUUUAAACACAAGUUUUAAGUUUGAAAGAUGCAAUUGCAUCACUCAAAGAUGAUCCCGCGUUGUAUUAGCUAGUUGGUGAGGUAAAGGCUCACCAAGGCGAUGAUACAUAGCCGACCUGAGAGGGUGAUCGGCCACCUUGGGACUGGGACACGGCCCAAACGCCUACGGGAGGCAGCCGUAGGGAAACUUCGGCAAUGGGCGAAAGUCUGACCGGGCCACGCCGCGUGAGUGGAGAAGGUUUUCGGGUCGUAAAACUCUGUUGGUAGGGAAGAACGUUGGUGAGAGUGGAAAGCUCAUCAAGUGACGGUAACUACCCAGAAAGGGACGGCUAACUACGUG
rnacentral:rRNA from 1 species